UACAGAGGGGGCAAGCGUUGUUCGGAAUUACUGGGCGUAAAGGGCGCGUAGGCGGCCCGCUAAGUCGGAACGUGAAAUCCCCGAGCUCAACUCGGGAACUGCGUCCGAUACUGGUGGGCUUGAGACCGGGAGAGGAUAGCGGAAUUCCCAGUGUAGAGGUGAAAUUCGUAGAUAUUGGGAAGAACACCAGUGGCGAAGGCGGCUAAUCUGGACCGGUACUGGACGCUGAGGUGCGAAAGCG
rnacentral:rRNA from 1 species